GCCGAUGUAGCUCAGUUGGUAGAGCAACUGAUUCGUAAUCAGUAGGUCACGGGUUCGAAUCCCGUCAUUGGCUCCA
rnacentral:tRNA from 1 species